GACGAACGCUGGCGGCGUGCCUAAUACAUGCAAGUAGAACGCACAGUUUAUACCGUAGCUUGCUACACCAUAGACUGUGAGUUGCGAACGGGUGAGUAACGCGUAGGUAACCUGCCUGGUAGCGGGGGAUAACUAUUGGAAACGAUAGCUAAUACCGCAUAAUAUUGAUUAUUGCAUGAUAAUUAAUUGAAAGGUGCAAUUGCACCACUACCAGAUGGACCUGCGUUGUAUUAGCUAGUAGGAGAGGUAACGGCUCACCUAGGCGACGAUACAUAGCCGACCUGAGAGGGUGCUCGGCCCCACUGGGACUGGGACACGGCCCAGACUCCUACGGGAGGCAGCAGUAGGGGAUCUUCGGCAAUGGACGAAAGUCUGACCGAGCAACGCCGCGUGAGUGAAGAAGGUUUUCGGAUCGUAAAGCUCUGUUGUAAGAGAAGAACGGGUGUGAGAGUGGAAAGUUCACACUGUGACGGUAUCUUACCAGAAAGGGACGGCUAACUACGUG
rnacentral:rRNA from 1 species